rnacentral:lncRNA from 1 species
CCGAUGUCCCCAUCGGUGUCCCCAGCUGUGCCCAGAUGUCACCUCCGGGUGUGCCCCGACGGGCCCCCGGAUGUGUCACCCCAGAUGUGGCCUCCAGGUGUGUCCCAAGGGCCACCCAAUGCCUUGCCGUCACCCAUCCAGAUGUUCCCAGUCUGCCCCAGAUGUGACCCACCGCAGCCCCCGUGGAUGUGCCCCAGAUGUCACCGUAGUGUCCCUGAAGUGUCCCCUAAUGGCACCCGCGAGUGUCACCCCGGUGGGCCCGGAUGUGUCCCCCCAAAUGUGUCCUGCGUGGACCCCAUGUCUCCAGAUGUGCCCCAGGUGUGGCCGCCGUCACUGCUGGUGCCACCCAGAUGUGGCCCCGAUCUGGCUCCAGAUGUGGCCCGGACGCUCCCCCGGUGCGGUGCCUGGGCCACGCCCCAAUGUCACCCGUCCUGGUGUCACCCGUCCCACCCUGGUGUCACCCGUCCCACCCUGGUUUCACCCAUCUUGUCCCAUCGUGGUGUCGCCCAUGCCGUCCUGGUGUCACCUGUCCCAUCGCAGUGUCACCCGCCUUGGUGUCACCCGUCCUGCCCCAUCGUGGUGUCACCCAUCCCAUCCUGGUGUCACCUGUCCCACCCCACUGUCAUUUGUCCUGUCCCAUCUGUGUCACCCAUCCAAUCCUGGUGUCACCUGCCCUGGUGUCACCCAUCCCACCCUGGUGUCACCCGCCCCGGUGUCACCCGUUCCAUCACUGGACUCUCUGGGGGCUGCAGGAGGUUUAUUGCCACCGCCAACGUCCCCGAGCGCAGCCGGGGGGCCAGGACUGGGGGGACAGGAGGUC